GACAGAGACAACAUCUAAAGGACAAAUCUUUUGAGGUCAGAAUGAAGGUAGAGUCUAAGCUCGGAGGGGAACUUAGUAAUGACACAAUUACGAGCCAACUACAGUAAUAUUAGUUGGCGAAGCUUAUAAAUUACCAAAGGAAGUCAAAACUGAAUUAAGUUAAAAAUGGGGAACCAAUCACAAGGACCAAUAGUAGCAGAAGAGCACUAGCUCUCGUGUGCUGCAGACUGAACAUCGCACAGCCUGAUGCACCGUUCACACUCAACUGUCCAGCGUUGAUAAAUUCACCCUUGCCAGAAGUUAUGGACACAUUCACAGAUGAGGAACAAUCAUAAUCUGUCCAUCCAAUCCUUUGCCGAGCCAAGUCAUACACAAUGAUUUUGUCUUUCAGAACAAGAU
rnacentral:misc_RNA from 1 species